rnacentral:rRNA from 1 species
AUGGUAAGGCUUCGUGAGAUACCAGAGCAUGAUGCAGCAAGCUCAAGUGCUGAUCCAUGUUACUCAGUGAUUGGUAUAUAUGGUGUUGCUGGGUCUGGGAAGACCACGUUUGCAGGAUAUAUUCAAGAUUACAUAAAGGAGGAAUGCAAGGAUGAGAAACUUUUCGACACCAUCAUGUGCAUUCAUGUGACUGAAACUUUCAGUGUGGAUGAUAUAUUUCAUGAAAUUCUGAAGUAUAUUACCGGAGAUAGUCACUCCAAUAUUUCAGAUCGUGGGGCUCUAGAUAAGAAGUUGAAGGAAGCAUUGUGUGGCAAACGUUUCUUCUUGAUAUUGGAUGAUCUCUGGGUGAAAAACAAGAAUGACCAACACCUAGAGGAGCUAAUCUCUCCACUCAAUGUUGGGCUGAAAGGAAGCAAAAUCCUGGUGACGGCUCGAACAAAAGAAGCAGCUGGAGCUCUGGGUGCCGAUAAAUUUAUUGAAAUGCCUGAUUUGGAUGAGGAUCAGUACUUGGCGAUGUUUAUGCAUUAUGCGCUAAGUGAUACAAGAGUUGCCCUUCAAGAAUUUGAACAAGUUGGGAGAGAGAUUGCCAAAAAACUACACCGAUCACCUAUUGCAGCAGUAACAGUUGCAGGACGGCUUGGGGCAAACCCAAAUAUCAGUUUUUGGAAAAAUGUUGCAAAGCUUGACAUGUUGAAUUACACCAUGGAUGCUCUUUGGUGGAGCUAUCAGCAGCUUGAUCCGGACAUUAGGCGAUGCUUUGAAUUCUGCAGUAUUUUCCCCAGAAAAUUCAAACUGGAAAAAGACCAAUUAGUCCGCCUGUGGACAGCACAAGGAUUUGUAAAGACCAGUUGUGCAACGGAGGAGAUGGAAGAUGUUGCCGAGGGCUACAUUCAAGAGUUAGUGUCAUGCUCAUUUCUGCAAGAAAAAGGAACUGGUUCUGGCGUUGAUCAUUUUACAAUUCAUGAUCUGUUGCAUGAUUUAUUAGUCAAGGUUGCUGGAAAUGAUUGCUUCAGAAUCGAGAAUAGAUGGAGUAAACAAGGAGAAUGCCAAGAAGAUGUCCCUCGAGAUGUCCGUCAUCUUUUUGUUCAGAAGUAUGAUGGGGAAUUGAUUACCAGGAAGAUCCUUGGAUUGGAAAAUUUACGCACUCUCAUUAUUUGUGUGGUCGAAGAGAAUAGACCAGUUGAGGAAAAGGUCAUUGAGAGUAUGUGCGUGAGGCUGCUGAAGUUGCGGGUACUGGCCAUUGCUUUCAACAAAAAAUGCCGUUCAACCAGCAAUCCCAGUGAUAAGUUCUUGGUCCCAGAAUCCAUUACUCAGUUAAAGCACCUCCGCUAUCUAGCUUUCCGGAAAAGUGACAACUGCAAGGUUAUUUUGCCAAGUGCACUAGCUAAACUUCUCCAUAUCCAGCUGCUAGAUUUUGGUCUUGGCAAAAUUUCGGAUUUUACCUGUGCUGCUGACCUUAUCAACUUGCGGCACAUAUUCUGCUGGGAUGUGAGCUUUCCUAACAUAGGCACGCUGAGCUCACUUCAAAGAAUACCCUUCUUCAGGCUAAGGAAUGACCUUAUCAACUUAGGAAGCCAAUCUAGCUGCCAAGGAAAGGCUCACGGAACUGAUACUAUGUUUUUUGACUUCCCAUACACGGGGCAAUGGCAAUGCGGAAGUUGCAGCAGAGGUGCUUGA